UAAUAAGUGUUUUAUGGCACUUUUUAAAUCCAUAUCCACCUUGUGUGCAAUGUCAGUCGAUCUUCUUCAUGGAGAUCGACAAACAUCAACCUUUAUCUUUUAACUCUUUGUCUGAAAAUAUCAUGAAUAAACAAUUCAAAAUA
rnacentral:misc_RNA from 1 species